GGGAAUCUUGGACAAUGGGGGCAACCCUGAUCCAGCGACGCCGCGUGGGUGAUGAAGGCCUUCGGGUUGUAAAGCCCUUUCGCCGGGGAUGAUGAUGACGGUACCCGGUGCAGCAGCACCGGCUAACUCCGUGCCAGCAGCCGCGGUAAGACGGAGGGUGCUAGCGUUGUUCGGAAUUACUGGGCGUAAAGGGCGCGUAGGCGGCCUGGGGAGUCGGCUUGUGAAAGCCCGGGGCUCAACCCCGGAGGUGCGGCCGAUACUCCCUGGCUAGAGGCCGGAAGAGGAGGGUGGAAUACCCAGUGUAGAGGUGAAAUUCGUAGAUAUUGGGUGGAACACCGGUGGCGAAAGCGGCUCUCUGGUCCGGACCUGACGCUGAGGCGCGAAAGCGUGGGGAGCAAAC
rnacentral:rRNA from 1 species